AUAUCUCCGAAUAAACAACCCGAAGCUCGCAUUUCUAAACAAAUAAAAGUAAACUAUAGUUUUGAAUGAAGCUAACGUUGAAAAUGACACCGCCAAUAUUUUUUAAAAACAAGCCUUCUUCCUUAUCUGGCUGCUCAUUGGGCGGGCUUAUGUGACGUAAUUACCACGUGACUUGUAGGCGGGGUUUUUAGCUAUAAAGCUUCUGACGGUCAAAUCAAGCCUGAUGUUCUUCCAUCUUCCCGCUCGCUCCAGCCGAUUGUUCCAGAAAAAUAAAAAUCUGGCUUCUCGAGCAUUGUGGCAAUUAUGGAAUUCCAAUUUUCACUCUCGGAGAGACCUAUGUGUCUUUUCUGGUCCUGGUGGUGGUCUGUACAAACCGGAUGAAGCGUCGUCUGUUUCCUCUGACAAACCUCCUCACGUGCCUGUCAUGCUGAAGGAGGUGCUUCAUUACCUGGACAUCAAACCAGGCCAGGCCGUCCUCGACAUGACGUUUGGCGGCGGCGGUCACGCCAAAGCGAUACUCGAUACCGUUUCCGAUGUCAGCAUCCUGGCCUUAGACCGAGAUCCCUCGGCUAUCAUCCUGGCCCGGCAGUUAGCCCAGGAACACCCAGGCCGUGUGAAACCAUUACUUGGACGAUUCAGUGACCUGGAAGUGCUGCUUUCGGGCGUCGACGUAAAAGCGGGUACUAUUGACGCUGUCCUGUUGGAUGCUGGCUGUUCUUCGAUGCAAAUGGAUCAGGCCCAGAGAGGUUUCUCACUCAGCAAGGAUGGACCUUUAGACAUGAGGAUGGAUGGAGACAGGUUCUCCGACAUGCCCUGUGCUGCUGACGUGGUGAAUACCUUAGAUCAACAGGCUCUCGCUUCCAUCCUCACCGCGUACGGGGAGGAGAGGCACGCCGGGAAAAUAGCUGCAGCCAUCGUGGAAGCACGCCGCGUCCGCCCCAUCACCCGGACCCAGCAGCUGGCCAGCGUGGUCGCAGGAGCAUUUCCUGCUGCUGCCCUCUACGCCAGAAAAGACCGACUCCAACGACCUUCGCAUGUCGCAACGAAGACCUUCCAGGCUCUGCGUAUCCUCGUCAACGACGAACUCAACCAACUGCACGCCGGUCUCCGCGCUGCCCAGACGGUACUGAAGUCCGGUGGACGUCUUUGCGUUAUCACUUUUCACUCGUUAGAAGACCGACUGGUGAAGCGCUUCCUUCGGGGCGCCGACUUGUCUCAUCUAGAACAGCAUCACUUUGACCCCAGGAUAAAAGCCAAAGCGAAGGACAAGUCAAUGGAGAGAAAAAUAAGCGGAGAUGAUACUUAUUGGUAUCGUUUCCAAAAAAAGGUAAUAACUCCAGAAAAGGACGACAUGACAGAUAACCCUCGAGGACGCUCAGCAAAACUUCGGGUAGCAAUCAGAUGUUAAAUACCGUAUUUUUCUGGACGAUAAGUCGCUCCGGAGUAUAAGUCUCACAAGGCCAAAAAUGCAUGAUUAAGUCGAAAAAAAACAUACAUAAGUCGCACCAGAGUAUAAGUCGCAUUUUUUGCGGCUUUUCCGUAUUUUCCAGACAAUAAGUCACGUUGGAGUAUAAGUCGCACAAGGCCAAAAAUGCAUAAUUCGGUAAAAAAAAAAAACAUACAUAAGUCGCACCAGAGUAUAAGUCGAAUUUUUUUGCGGCUCAUUUGUUUUUAACUACCGUAUUUUCCAGACUAUAAGUCGCUCCGGAGUAUAAGUCGCACAAGGCCAAAAAUGCAUAAUUCGGUAAAAAAAAAUACAUAAGUCGCACUGGAGUAUAAGUCACAUUUUUUGCAGGUCAUUUAUUUUUAACUACCGUAUUUUCCGGACAAUAAAUCGCGUUGGAGUAUAAGUCGCACAAGACCAAAAAUGCAAAAAUGAGUAUAAGUCGCAUUUUUUGCGGCUUUUCCGUAUUUUCCGGACAAUAAGUCACGUUGGAGUAUAAGUCGCAUUUGCGGCUUUUCCGUAUUUUCCGGACAAUAAGUCACGUUGGAGUAUAAGUCGCACAAAGCCAAAAAAUGCAUAAUUCGGUAAAAAAAAAACAUACAUAAGUCGCACCAGAGUAUAAGUCGCAUUUUUUGCGGCUUUUCCGUAUUUUCCGGACAAUAAGUCACGUUGGAGUAUAAGUCGCACAAAGCCAAAAAUGCAUAAUUCGGUAAAAAAAAAAACAAACAUAAGUCGCACCAGAGUAUAAGUCGCAUUUUUUGCGGCUUUUCCGUAUUUUCCGGACAAUAAGUCACGUUGGAGUAUAAGUCGCACAAGGCCAAAAAUGCAUAAUUCGGUAAAAAAAAAAAAAAAACAUACGUAAGUCGCACUGGAGUAUAAGUCGCAUUUUUUGCGGGUCAUUUAUUUUUAACUACCGUAUUUUCCGGACAAUAAGUCGCGUUGGAGUAUAAGUCGCACAAGGCCAAAAAUGCAUAAUUCGGUAAAAAAAAAAAACAUACAUAAGUCGCACUGGGGUGUAAGUCGCAUUUUUUGCGGGUCAUUUAUUUUUAACUACCGUAUUUUCUGGACUAUAAGUCGCACAAGACCAAAAAUGCAUAAUUCGGUAAAAAAAACAUACAUAAGUCACACUGGAGUAUAAGUCGCAUUUUUUUGCAGAUAAUUUAUUUUUAACUACCGUAUUUUCCGGACAAUAAGUCGCGUUGGAGUAUAAGUCGCACAAAGCCAAAAAUGCAUAAUUCGGUAAAAAAAAAACAUACAUAAGUCGCACCAGAGUAUAAGUCGCAUUUUUUGCGGCUUUUCCGUAUUUUCCAGACAAUAAGUCACGUUGGAGUAUAAGUCGCACAAGGCCAAAAAUGCAUAAUUCGGUAAAAAAAAAAAACAUACAUAAGUCGCACCAGAGUAUAAGUCGCAUUUUUUGCAGGUCCGUAUUUUCCGGAGUAUAAGUCGCUCCGCAGUAUAAGUCACACAAGGCCAAAAAUGCAUAAUUCGGUAAAAAAAAAAAACAUACAUAAGUCACACCAGAGUAUAAGUCGCAUUUUUUGCGGCUUUUCCGUAUUUUCCGGACAAUAAGUCACGUUGGAGUAUAAGUCUCACAAGGCCAAAAAUGCAUGAUUAAGUCAAAAAAAAAACAUACAUAAGUCGCACCAGAGUAUAAGUUGCAUUUUUUGCGGCUUUUCCGUAUUUUCCGGACAAUAAGUCACGUUGGAGUAUAAGUCGCACAAGGCCAAAAAUGCAUAAUUCGGUAAAAACAAAAAUACAUAAGUCACAUUUUUUUGCAGAUAAUUUAUUUUUAAUACCGUAUUUUCCGGACAAUAAGUCGCUCCGGAGUUUAAGUCUCACAGGGCCAAAAAUGCAUGAUUAAGUAGAAAAAACAUACAUAAGUCGCACUGGAGUAUAAGUCACAUUUUUUGCGGGUCAUUUAUUUUUAACUACCGUAUUUUCCGGACAAUAAGUCACGUUGGAGUAUAAGUCGCACAAGGCCAAAAAUGCAUAAUUCGGUAAAAAAAAAAAAAAAACAUACAUAAGUCGCUCCGGAGUAUAAGUCGCAUUUUUUUAUAAGUCGCACAAGGCCAAAAAUGCAUAAUUUGGUAGAAAAAAAACAUACAUAAGUCGCACCGGAGUGUAAGUCGCAUUUUUCGCGGGUCAUUUAUUUUUAAUUACCAUAUUUUCCGGACUAUAAGUCGCACAAAGCCAAAAAUGCACAAUUAGGUAGAAAAAACAUACAUAAGUCACGCUGGAGUAUAAGUCGCAUUUUUUAAAUUAAAAUUAUUUUAAAAAAAUAUGUAAAGUGUGUUAUAAAUUAAAUAUAUUAUUAUUAUUAUUAUUAUUAUUAUUAUUAUUAUUAUUAUUAUUAUUAUUAUUAUUAUUAUUAUUAUUAUUAUUAUUAUUAUUAUUAUUAUUAUUAUUAUUAUUAUUAUUAUUAUGCUAGGUUGUAUGUUGAGUUUAAAUGAAAUACUUUGGAAAGAACAGGUAAACAGGGCCGUAUUCAAACACUUUGCGGGCCGGAUGUGGCCCCCGGGGCCGUAGUUUGCCCACCCCUGGAUUAUAUCAUUGGAAAAAUGGAAUAUUUGGAUACUGAAUGACAGCUGGGAUAGGCUCCAGCACCCCCCCCCCGCAACCCUUGUGAGGAUAAGCGGUAGAAAAUGAAUAAAUGAAUUUGUUUACUAAAUAUGUUUUAUGAUCUCAUACGUUUAUGUGUGACAAAUAUAAAUGAAUGAUGCUAACCAAGGUUUUUUUUCCAAUUUGAGUAUUUCUAUUUGCAUGAGCUGCUCCAAAGUAAGUUGUCAGGUCAAUUCUAUGAGCAGAACAGGUGAACAAAUGCUUCAACAAAUCGAAAAAUAUCAUAAAAAAAUAAUAAAAAAAAAAAGGAAAGAAGACGAAUAUGCUGUAAACCAAAACACAAAACAAUAAAUCUUUUUUCCUGGAAAAUGAAUAUUCAUCUACACCUGACUGCAGAUUUUUGUUAGCCAAGCGCUGUGACCAUGAAAGCGUGAGGAGAAGAUACUGCGGCUUCUUUUUGACAGCCUGAAGAAUGUAUGAAUUAUGAAUUCUUUAGUGUUAUUUUUCAUUUUUUUUUUCAGCAUUUAUCUGUCUCGUUGUUGUCGAAAGGUCCAAAAGUCGAUGUGGACCAUCGUUGUGGAGUCAUCGAGUCCCGAAAAACUUUAUUAUAUUUUCCGGACUAAAAACUUUUCUUCAUAAUUUGGCUCAUCCUGCAACUUAUAAUCAUGUCUAACUUAUAGAUUCAAAUAUAUUUUUUAAUGUUAUUUCAUAUUGACUCAACCAAGGAGUGAAUAUUAUCAUUUUUCUGUUGUUCGGUGAUGUGGCAUGAGAUCGGGAGCUCGGUGAACUUGCUUACCAGUAACCUUGUUGUUGACUUGAUAUCACUUUGUUUGUCCAAAGUGCGGCUUUGUGGCCAUUUGUGGUCUGCGGCAUAUUCUAAGAAUAUUUAACACAAGAAAAAAACAAAAGCAUACUAUCGUGAAAAAUAAACAAAAAUAACAAUUUUAUAAAGUAAUUUUAUAGUUUUAUAAUAAUAAUAAAGUUAUAAUUUGGUUGCAGAAAAAAUUGCAGAAAGUUGCAGAAAAAGUUCUAAUGAGAAUAAAGUCACAAUUACAAGAAAAGUUUCAUAAAAAACCCUUUUAAAGUGAAUAGGUGCAGAUUCUGGAAGAUCUAGAAAGCUCUCUGUGCUGUUAUUGUGUGUAGCUGCUCUAUAGGAGUCCACAACUCGGUACAAAGACCUUUUUAAAGCGAAUAGGUGCAGAUUCUGGAAGAUCUAUAAAGCUUUCUGUGCUGUUAUUGUGUGUAGCUGCUCUAUAGGAGUCAACAGUUCGGUACAAAGACCCCUUUGAAGUGAAUAGGUGCAGAUUCUGGAAGAUCUAUAAAGCUUUCUGUGUUGUUAUUGUGUGUAGCUGCUCUAUAGGAGUCCACAACUCGGUACAAAGACCCCUUUAAAGUGAAUAGGUGCAGAUUCUGGAAGAUCUAUAAAGCUUUCUGUGUUGUUAUUGUGUGUAGCUGCUCUAUAGGAGUCCACAACUCGGUACAAAGACCCCUUUAAAGUUAAUUAGCGACUUAACACAGGACGGGAAUGUCCCACAUGAUAACUUGAAAAAAGUUAUCCUCCGAUUCCGUGUGGAAGUGGUACGUUUUGUUUUUUUUUAAGAAGAAAUGCUAGGUUAAUUAGCGACUUAAUACAGGAAGGGAAUGUCCCACAUGAUAACUUGAAAAAAGUUAUCCUCUGAUUUUGUGUGGAAGUGGUACAUUUUGGUUUGUUUUUUUUUUAAAGAAGAAAUGCUAGGUUAAUUAGCGACUUAACACCGGAAGGGAAUGUCCCACAUGCUACGUUAAUUAGCCACUUAAUGUCCCACAUGAUAACUCGAAAAAAGUUAUCCUCCGAUUCUGUGUGGAAGUGGUACGUUGAACCCUGGUCUCCUAGCUGUGAGGUCUGCGCGCUAACC